AAAGCUUUAGCUUAAUUUAAAGCAUCUGAUUUGCGUUCAGAAGAUGUAAGAUAUUACUUGCAGGUUUUA
rnacentral:tRNA from 1 species